GAUGAACGCUAGCGGCAGGCCUAAUACAUGCAAGACGAACGGUAAGUUGAGUAGCAAUACUUAGCCAAGAGUGUCGUACGGGUGCGUAACACGUAUGCAACCUACCCUAUACAGGAGGAUAGCCUAGGGAAACCUGGAUUAAACCCUUCAUAGUAUUAUUGGAUGGCAUCAUUUUGAUAAUUAAAAACUGAGGUGGUAUAGGAUGGGCAUGCGUCUGAUUAGUUAGUUGGCGGGGUAAUGGCCCACCAAGACGAUGAUCAGUAGGGGUUCUGAGAGGAAGAUCCCCCACACUGGCACUGAGAUACGGGCCAGACUCCUACGGGAGGCAGCAGUAGGGAAUAAUUGGUCAAUGGAGUGCAAGUCUGAACCAGCC
rnacentral:rRNA from 1 species